rnacentral:lncRNA from 1 species
AUGUUACAAAAAGAAUGAAGUUUCUUGUCUAUAUGCAGGUAAAUUUAAACUAUGGAAGACAAAAACUAACAGAACUCAGCCUGCCUGCCUAUCGACAUCAUCUCAUCCAUAGCACCAAUGUGGGAUGACAGAGAGUGCAACUCAAAUUUUAGUCUUGACUUUGGAGCAGUCUCAUAGCUACAGCAUAAGGGAUGGGGGCUGGUGAACUGAGAGAAGCAAGAGCCAUCCAUGGAAGGCUCAGAACAGGCUCUGCCUGUAUGUUUGCUGAACAGUAUUGGAAAACCACGAGUGCUGAACACCCAGUAAAAUCUGAGAGGGAAUGAAGGAAGCCAGAGUUGACCAGGCAUCCCAAAAGGAGGAGCCAUCCCAGACCCAUGCAGAUGUGAAGAACAGAAAUUGAAUGUGGAGGUCAUUGAGAACUUGUAUUCUGUGAAGGAGGGCUGUUUGGGUAGGAACUGUCUCUCCAGAGCCCAAGGGAGAUUUAGCCCACAUUCCAUAUAGAUACUCAACAAGGAAACUUGGUUUCCUUCCUUUAUUUGUAGUAAGCCACGAACUAAAGCAUUUAUAUCACUGUAAUAGCAUGCUUGCCCAUCAUGGUUUCAUUGUAUAUACAUAUACUACCAUACUAAAUUUAAAAGGACUGUAGACCUGGUUCAAGUUACACAGGGAAAUAGCAACUGCUUUCUAU